UGGGGAUUAAAUUCCACUAUAAUUUAUAACACACCCAACAGGAAUCUAGGAUCAUUGUGAUAAGGGGCACAAAACUUGUGGCCUCCCUAACAAACGCCCUACUUCU
rnacentral:snoRNA from 1 species